GACGAACGCUGGCGGCGUGCUUAACACAUGCAAGUCGAACGUGAUUUUUGUGGAAAUUCUUUCGGGAAUGGAAGUGAAAUGAAAGUGGCGAACGGGUGAGUAACACGUGAGCAACCUACCUUACACAGGGGGAUAGCCGUUGGAAACGACGAUUAAUACCGCAUGAGACCACAGAAUCGCAUGAUAUAGGGGUCAAAGAUUUAUCGGUGUAAGAAGGGCUCGCGUCUGAUUAGCUAGUUGGAAGGGUAAAGGUCUACCAAGGCGACGAUCAGUAGCCGGUCUGAGAGGAUGAACGGCCACAUUGGAACUGAGACACGGUCCAAACUCCUACGGGAGGCAGCAGUGGGGAAUAUUGCACAAUGGGGGGAACCCUGAUGCAGCGACGCCGCGUGAGCGAAGAAGGUUUUCGAAUCGUAAAGCUCUGUCCUAUGAGAAGAUAAUGACGGUAUCAUAGGAGGAAGCCCCGGCUAAAUACGUGCCAGCAGCCGCGGUAAUACGUAUGGGGCGAGCGUUGUCCGGAAUUAUUGGGCGUAAAGGGUACGUAGGCGGUUUUUUAAGUCAGGUGUGAAAGCGUGAGGCUUAACCUCAUUAAGCACUUGAAACUGGAAGACUUGAGUGAAGGAGAGGAAAGUGGAAUUCCUAGUGUAGCGGUGAAAUGCGUAGAUAUUAGGAGGAAUACCGGUGGCGAAGGCGACUUUCUGGACUUUUACUGACGCUCAGGUACGAAAGCGUGGGGAGCAAACAGG
rnacentral:rRNA from 1 species